UUGAACUUGGCUGUAUAAUAAAUGGUUUGACACACAAUGUUUGUUGUGAACAUUGACUGGAGCUCUUGACCUGUAUCUGCAUGACUGUAUGUGUUGGUCUGCUGCCACUUGAUUGGAUGAUUGGAUAACUGCAUGAAGAAACAGAUGUAGAAGUCUUAUAUAUCACGUUUACAGAUUUUCUUUAGAGGAGAAAAAAACAGGAAGCUGCUUUCACCAAUGGAUGGUCAGUCUUGAAGGGCACAUCAUUUGUGAAGGCAUCCAGCCAGCUUUUCUAUCUGAGGUUUUGUACUUAUUCCAACAUAAAUGAGGAAUACCAAGAUGAAGCUAUGCAUGAUUCAAUUCAUUCAGAGUUUUCAUGGUGCUGUGGGGUGCUGUGAGUCGCUAUAUGAAAUAAAGUUGCUGUUUGAAUAUAUUGCGUUGGUGUGGUGUCGAGGCUUUCGGAUCCAAGAGGUCGCUACAGACUAUAAAGCAUGUCUUUGGAUUGGAAGAGGAAACUGGAGUACCAGGAGGAAACCCCUGAAGCAUAGAGAGGAAAUCCAAACUCCACACACAGGAAAGAGGCAUGAAUUAAACCUCCUGAGGUGAUGUGCUGAACCUCUAAGUUACUGUGCCACCGUUUACAUCACUUAUGCGAGCUACUGUAAUAUCACAUAACUGCACUUUUAUAAUCUUACAAUUACAACAUAGAGUAGUAUUGUGCAAUACUUACUGUAUCAAUCUCUUGAACAUUUUAUAAAAGAAAUUAAUGUUAAUAAUUAAAUAAGUAA